rnacentral:tRNA from 1 species
CCUGGCUUGGCUCAGUGGUUGAGCAUCAAUCUAUGAACCAGGAGAUCAGGGUUCGAUUCCCAGUCAGGG